rfam:Schistosoma mattheei strain Denwood, Zambia genome assembly, scaffold: SMTD_scaffold0000522
AUCCAGUCGAUGAGUCCCCAAACAGGACGAGACGCUCGUCCUGGAU